rnacentral:rRNA from 1 species
GAGUUUGAUCCUGGCUCAGAACGAACGCUGGCGGCGCGUCUUAAGCAUGCAAGUCGAACGGCAUGAGGAAGCUUGCUUCCUCAGAGAGUGGCGGACUGGUGAGUAACACGUGGGUGACCUACCCUUGAGAUGGGGAUAGCCAUUAGAAAUAGUGGAUAAUACCGAAUACGCUCUACGGACUCUGGUUUGUAGAGGAAACAGGCUACGGCCUGGCUCGAGGAUGGGCCCGCGUCCCAUUAGCUAGUUGGUGAGGUAAGAGCCCACCAAGGCGACGAUGGGUAUCCGGCCUGAGAGGGUGUACGGACACAUUGGGACUGAGAUACGGCCCAAACUCCUACGGGAGGCAGCAGCUAAGAAUAUUCCGCAAUGGACGAAAGUCUGACGGAGCGACGCCGCGUGGAUGACGAAGGCCGAAAGGUUGUAAAAUCCUUUUGCUGAUGAAGAAUAAGCGUGGUAGGGAAUGACCGCGUGAUGACAUUAGUCGGUGAAUAAGCCCCGGCUAACUACGUGCCAGCAGCCGCGGUAACACGUAGGGGGCAAGCGUUGUUCGGAAUUAUUGGGCGUAAAGGGCAUGUAGGCGGUUUGGUAAGCCUGAUGUGAAAUCCUGCAGCUUAACUGUAGAAUUGCAUUGGGUACUGCCGAACUUGAAUCACUGAGGGGAAACUAGAAUUCCAGGUGUAGGGGUGGAAUCUGUAGAUAUCCGGAAGAAUACCGAUGGCGAAGCGGGUUUCUAGCAGAUGAU